AACUUUCAGCAACGGAUCUCUUGGCUCUCGCAUCGAUGAAGAACGCAGCGAAAUGCGAUAAGUAAUGUGAAUUGCAGAAUUCAGUGAAUCAUCGAAUCUUUGAACGCACCUUGCACUCCUUGGUAUUCCGAGGAGUAUGCCUGUUUGAGUGUCA
rnacentral:rRNA from 4 species